rnacentral:lncRNA from 1 species
CCCUGGUAAAUGGCUUGGCAAAUGCAUAUAUCAUACGGGGGUAAGAAAAGUUGAGUCUUGUUAAGUUGAACACAGUAGUGUAAUUAUUAAUCUGAAAUAUACAUGUAUCUUGUAGUCACCAUGGAUGCUCUAGAUCUGGUAAUAUUCGUUUUGGUCCAACAGAAAAGUGGAUUACAAACCUUGUUAUGAACAUCCUAAAAUAUAUAAUUGUUCCAUAUAUUUGUGCAGUGUGCUUAUUUUUGAGCUGUUGAGAUCAUGCUUGUGCGCAACAUUAUUUUUUUUCUCAAGAACAGUUUAAUUUCAACAGAAAAGUAGAUGUUGACCGAUGAUUAAUUUCAAUCUUCAGCGGUACCAUUAAGUGGUGGUUCUAGAACUAAGCAUCAUUCUAUCUUUCUCAAGAACAGAUUACAGUUUGUGACUUGUAUGUUUGGCAAACUAGAGCAUCGAGUUGUAUAUAAAUUACUUACUUCCUUAGUAUCUAAACUAGAGCAUCGGGUUGUAUAAUUUUUUGUUUAUUAUUAAUAUGAGGACAACCUAGUAAGCAUUUCUUCCUUAGUUACCUAAUCUUCAUAACUGACCGGUGUUCUUUUGUCAUUUGAUUUUCAGGUAAUGGAACUGCAAAUAGGAGUGGCAGCGGCAACCAUGAUGCAAGUGCAAGUGGUUCCCAAAUAUCUUGGAAAACUAUUUGGUAUUUGUUCGUAAAUUGGUUGAAGUUUUUUGGUGUGAGUAGACAUAACAGUGCAUUGCGCUGUUCAUGUAGUGAGAUGAGGAUGAUCACAAUUCAGAGUAUUUGGAUCUAUCCGUCAUAUUUCUAUAUGGUAAGGCAUAUAUCUCGAUCUUAUUGGUGCACAUUUCUAGAGUAUUUGCUUGGUAUGCAGCCAGAUUACUAUGCUUUGCUUGUUCACACGAUGCAAAUUGAAUAUUGUUAUUGAUUUGCUAGGUUCAAUUAAAGUGAGAGUGAGGAUAAUGAUGGGGUGAGUGAGGACAAGGAAGAUGAUCCAUCAAUGCAAGAUCAGCAAGAGGCACAAAUGCAAGUGGAAAAAGAGACGCAAAUUCAAGUGGAAAUGGACGCACCACCAAACGAUGGCAAUUUGGAGACCCGUAGAUCUGUACGGCUUGUCAAGAAGAAGACCAAGGACGUCAACAGCAUAUACUUGUUGCUUAGAAAUCUGCGGGUAAGUCUCUUUUUAGUGUUUUAUCAUUCAUGAUAAUUGCUUAGAAUAUUUUAGUGACUUGGAGCUGCUAGUUACUUAGAUGUAUGCACUUUCUAUCUAUGCCUAGCCUCAUUGACAUGUUAAGCGAUGUAUUUAUAUUAUCCUGAAAUGUUACCACUUGACUAUUGUUGCACUAGACACUUCCCUGUUAGUCCUACAUGCAUCCUGAUCCUUUCUCUGUUUUCUCUGAACCAGAAAUGCCACAUGGAGAACUAAGGAUAUCAAGAAGCUUUUGGAUGUAUGCAAGCUUGGAGCUGCUGUUUUAUAGGUAUGUUAACCACUAUAUUUAUCCUUCAAUAUUUUUGAGCUUAUGCAUGAUUUUUGAUUCACAUUUUUCACCAUAGAUUUUCCUUCCGUAUGACAAUUGACAAAUGUCUAGUCCAAGCCAACAGCAGGUUGUUUGUGUCUAUGUUGCUUUCUUUGUAUCCUUACGAGUUUUGUUGUGCCGGAGUACAAACUAUAAAUUAGAAUUCAUCAUUCUAGUAUAUGGAGGCAUUUAACCUUUGCUCCUGAAGCUUUUUUGUGAAUAAAAAACUAUAUUGCUGCAGUAGAUUUGUUAUUUGAUUCAUGAGCAUGCAUGACAUUUGACUAUUGUUCUACUAGCUACUUACUUGUCCUGUUAAUCCAUUAUAUUUUUUGUUGCACAAAGUGGUAGAAGAUAAUUCCGAUGCAGAACUACCUCCAUCCUGACCCUUGCUUUGUUUUCUCUAAACCAGAAAUGACAUGUGUAGAAAUAGAAUAACCAAGGAUAUAAAGAAGCUUUUGGAUAUAGGCAAGCUUGGAGCUGCUGUUUCAAUGUCAUGCUUUAAUGGUUGUCUUUUGGAGCUGUUGUUUCUAUCUGUAAUCCUUUUAAGUCUGUUGGCUGUACCGGACUAUUUAAAGUCUGAACUACGCUGUGAUGGUUGAACUGAUGCUGGACUGUUAAGGGUUAUGUUGGAGGCAACUUUAUAACUAAUGUGUGCCUGUUAUGUUGGACAGAUGCAGUUUUAUUAAUCCCUAGAGCUUAUUUGCUGAAGUUUAUAUGAUCAAUCCUGAUGGUUGUUGUGCUGCUAUGAUUAGGCUUUGUUUUAUUUCGAAUUUU